CACCAGCGCCGCAAGUGGGGACCACUUUUAUUGGGCCUAAAGCGUCCGUAGCUGGUUAAAUAAAUCCUUUGUGAAAUCGUGUGACUUAAUCAUACGACUUGCAGGGGACACUGUUUGACUUGAGACCGGGAGGGGUAUGGAGUAUUCCUAGGGAACCGGUAAAAUGGGAUAAUCCUAGGAAGACUACCUGUGGCGAAGGCGCCAUACCAGAACGGAUCUGACAGUGAGGGACGAAGGCCAGGGGAGCGAACCGG
rnacentral:rRNA from 1 species